rnacentral:lncRNA from 1 species
CUAUUAUUAUGUCAUAUAAUGUCUCCUCUGGGCACUUUCAGUAACACCCAUCUGUGGGACACAGUGCAUAAGGGGAAGAGUGCGAGGAUUUUCAUAAUUCCUUUGCAAUAUGAAGGCUUGAUCAAUGGCCUGAUCUUAGACAUUGACAGGACUGGAGUAGAGCUGAGUGCAUAUUCCAAGUCAGGAUGAUUUCACAGACUUAUUGAGUCUUCUGAAGUGAGCAGGAAGCAUGUUUCCCGUUCUGUGUUCCCUCAUCCUUGCACCACACACGCAUUAAGUAAAGGAGGAUGGCUUCUUCACUUCCUGAGGUCAGGCACACCUCAGCCAACCUGACAGCACAGUCCUCUUGGAGCUGAAGAAGACAAGUACCUACAUGGCUGCUCUACAGUCAAGUAAGGAGCCAGCUUAAGCACCCAACUGAAGAAAGCCCUGCUGGAAAGACCUCUGCAGCCCCACAUUACAGCCCCCAUUAAACACGCAAAGGUGCGCACACAAUGUAACACAUGGGCCUGGGUUCAUUAAUCCUUCAUUUCCUGGAAUGAAAAAUGAAGGGUUAUAGCACUGGGCUACUAGACACAGACUUCUAUGGCUUAGGAAGGAAGUAAAUUUUUAAGCAAAUAUUCCCACAUUUGCCCUGUAUACGCUUGCCUAGGCAUCUGUCUGACUAUCAUUAAAAGACAGAGCUGGGGCAGCCAUUUUAUGUUCUUGUUAAUGUUCUUAUUUUUUACUUUAGACCGGUACAUGUGGGAGUUAGGAACUACAUUUUCCAAAAGGGAAAGCAAGGGGAAAUUUUCACCCAAAGGAGGAAGGACAAUCCUAUAGUGGUUUGCUGCAUAAGAUCGCUUGAACAAGCUCAUUAACCUUCCCUUCCUCAACUACCACCCCACCCAAAAAAACGCACUGGCAGUGGGUGUGUUGGGGCUGUGGUAAACACCCCGUAUCCCCUCCCUGCCCUCCCUGACAGCUGAGAGGACAGGUUCAUUCGUCACUUUUCAAGCUACAGUUUCAUUGUGAGCAUGUCAAACACCAAGUAUAGGGCAAAAAUUUAGUAAACAGAUUGCUUUUUCUGUUAAAUCUAUACUAACACCACUUUUCAUUUUUUUCCUGUGAAUAAAGAUACCACCAUAGCACA